UACAGAGGUCUCAAGCGUUGUUCGGAUUCAUUGGGCGUAAAGGGUGCGCAGGCGGCGAGGCAAGUCGGACGUGAAAUCUCGGGGCUUAACCCCGAAACUGCGUUCGAUACUGCCUUGCCUGAGGACUGGAGAGGAGACUGGAAUUCCUGGUGUAGCAGUGAAAUGCGUAGAUAUCAGGAGGAACGCCAAUGGCGAAGGCAAGUCUCUGGACAGUUCCUGACGCUCAUGCACGAAGGCCAGGGGAGCAAACGGG
rnacentral:rRNA from 1 species